UUAGAUAUAACUGAUGAUCCAGGUUUAGAUAUUGCCGAUGAUCCAGGUUGAGAUAAAACUGAUGAUCCAGGUUUAGAUAUAACUGAUGAUCCAGGUUUAGAUAUAACUGAUGGUCCAGGUUUAAGAUGUGGGUCAGAAAUAAAAGAUAGGACGCAAAGUGUACAAUGUCAUGAUGUUUAUUUCUCUUUUAUAUAAUAUUGCCGAUGUGACGAUAAAUAUUAACUCACUCACUCACUGUCUUAUAUAUCUUCGUGAAUGAAUGUGGCAAAUAUUAACACAAAUCUCAGAUGUGUAUACACAUUAUUCAGUCAGCUAUAGAUAUGAUGAAUCUCCUUCUUUACCUGACUCAUGACAUUAUUGAUUUCGUUCUAGAGAAUAGCACAUUCUGUAUCCUUGUCACCAGGUUCAUAUAUUCUUUCACUGACACAUAUCCCAUGACACAUUAUCUGCCACGCCAAUUUGAAUGUAAGGUUAUCCUAUAGACGUAUAUAGUGCUGACAUGUCUCGCCAUGAACAUUGGUUUUCUUCAUAUCUUUAUACGUCUGUAUUACCUCCACAUGAUCAUUUCCAAUGAGAUUUUUCGAAAGUCAUAGUAUAUGUAUGUGUUUGUAGAAGUGAGGAUAGAA